CAUUGCCAUUUUUUUCUAUUGUCUCUUUUUGGUCCAUUUAGAUUGCUAAUGUUGAUUGUAUACCAUUUCUUUUUUCUAAAUGUUAAGGUUAAAAAUGUCAAAUGUUUUAGGCUCCUGUUGUAAUAACAUAUUAAAACAUGUAAUGACGCAUUCACGGACUGUUGUUAAACACACUGAUAACCCAUGAAUAUACAUUGCUCCAAACCCUUUGGGAUGGGCUACAAAGACAAUGAACUCUGUCAAGAACCAAUGAGAUACAGACAACAGGCUGGAGAGGACUGUCUAUCACCUACGAACAACCAACCAGGAGCCAGGACUACUAGAAUCUACCUACGUCAUUCCAAUGUAUAAAUGUACUGCCCAAAUAUGUGUUACGCCCUCUUUUUCCGAAACCUCCCUAAGAGUGGACGAUGAGAGCCGUGCUGCACGUUUGCCAGAUAUCACUAUGCUAGAUUAAAAGGCCUCAAAUAUACCGUAUCCGCCUUGUCCAGAGUCUCAUCUUGGUCUUGUCUCUCCUAUAAUUAAUUCAUUAACAAAUUGGUAGCUAGAGGAUGGUAGAAAUCCAUGAAUUCGGUCCAUAGAUUUGAUGAGAGAAAAGACAAGUUGACGACAGAUUCUAGAAGGACGGGCGACCUGUCUACAGGAGCCAUCGGGGAUUCAACUCGCCUCAGGAAACUGACCAAAGAGCUCGACAUUAUAAAGAAAAAAGGAACGAAGGAGAGAGAGAGAGCGGAGGCGGAGCUGAGAAUAGGGACAUGGGCAAUAGAGGUGAAAAAAAGGACAUGCCCACAAAAGAAACCUGAUAUGAUGGGGGUGCUUGCUGGGGCCUCAGAUGACGUCAGAGAAGGCACAAACAACAACCACAACACACCACCACCCACCGUGACCACCCCAUCGGCCCCGCUCCCUCUAUACCCGCCACAGGAAGAGAAGACUGAAGUGCCACCUCCCUAUUCACAAAAUCCAUUCGCAUACCUCCCACACAACCCAUUUAAAAACCCACACCACACCAGCAGCCAUACAGGCCCCGGUCUUCAUGGUGAAGGGAGGACAGCUAAAAGGGAACAUGACUGUGGGGAUUCAAGAAGGCCACCUCGUCUGUGAAAAAAAGGACAUGCCCACAAAAGAAACCUGAUAUGAUGGGGGUGCUUGCUGGGGCCUCAGAUGACGUCAGAGAAGGCACAAACAACAACCACAACACACCACCACCCACCGUGACCACCCCAUCGGCCCCGCUCCCUCUAUACCCGCCACAGGAAGAGAAGACUGAAGUGCCACCUCCCUAUUCACAAAAUCCAUUCGCAUACCUCCCACACAACCCAUUUAAAAACCCACACCACACCAGCAGCCAUACAGGCCCCGGUCUUCAUGGUGAAGGGAGGACAGCUAAAAGGGAACAUGACUGUGGGGAUUCAAGAAGGCCACCUCGUCUGUGAAGAAAGGCCCGAUU
rnacentral:lncRNA from 13 species